rnacentral:rRNA from 1 species
GAUAAAUUAGAUACUUUAUAGACCUCUCGAAUAGGGGAUAGUUUAAUAAGUUUUCCCGCCGAAUGGUAGGUUAACUAUAAGUUAAGCAUAAAUUAGCUUAUUUAUAAGAAAGGAAAGCUUAAAUUUAUAAUUCAGUUAUUUAACAAUACGAGUAUAAAUUAGAGCAAGCCGCUAUAAGAAUCGAUUUAUUUUGUUUAAAGGUAGUUGGUGGGGUAAAUGCCUACCAAGCCUACGAUCAAUAGCCAAGUUUGAUAGAACAGAUGGCCACAUUGGGAAUGAAAAGCCCCAAGUAGAGUAAUCUACCAGCAGUCAAGAAUAUUAGUCAAUGCUCGCAAGAGUGAACUAGCUAACUGAAAUCUUAAGAUCAUUUAACCAUGGUACUUGAGAUAACGUAAGGGAAAAAAAUGAUAGUACCUUACUAUAAGUGUUGUCCAACAUUACUGGUGCCAGAAGACUCGGUAACGCCAGAAACGCAAACGUUAGUCGUCCUAAUCAGGCGUAAAGGGUAAGUAGGCUGCUUUGAAAGUUAUUAAUUAGAAAGCUCCAGUAUUAUUUUUAAUAAAAAGCCAAGCCUCAAUCAAUUGAAUGAGGGGAAGGUGCAACUGGUAAUUAAUAAUGAAUUAAAGCUAGAAUCAAACAGAGGAUAAGCCAAAUAAUGUUUAGAGUAGGGAUGAAAUCCGUAGAUACUAAAUGGAAUACUAAUGGUGAAAACUUUUAUCUAAUAAUGAUUGACGCUGAGGAACGAAGGUGAGAAUAGAAAAUAGGAUUAGAGACCCAGAUAUCUCUCACUGUCAACGAUGAAUGGUGGUUGUUAGUUUUAAAAUAAACUAGUAACGAUGUUAACGCGAUAACCAUUCCGCCUUGCGAGUACGGUUGCAAAACUGAAACCAAAAAAAUUAGUCGGUCUCGGAGCAAACGAAGUGAAGCAUGUUAUUUAAUACGAAACUACGCGUAAAAUCUUACCAGUUCUUGCAUAUACUCUUGCCUGCUUUUUUUUGAAAGGCAACUCUAUAAUAAAAAAAUAGAAAGGAGUUUACAGGUGUUGCAUGGCUGUCGUCAGUCCGUAUUUUAAGAAGUGAGGUUAACUCCACUAACGGACGCAAUCCCUGUUGUUAAUUUAUACUUAACAAUUUAUGAAUUUUAAAUAUUUUCAUUUGGGGCUAAGACAAGUCGUUAUGGCUCUAACGAACUGGGCUAUAGACGUGCCACAUAUAACUUGUUACAAAGUGAAGCGAAACCUUAACUAAAUUAAUAAAAAAAGGAAGAGCUAAUCAUUAAAGAAAGUUAAUUAUAUUUAAUUUGAGCAGAUUGUUGCCUGAAAUUCGGCAACAUGAAGAAGGAAUUUCGAGUAAUCGUUGAUCACUAGCGCAACGGUGAAGAUAGCAUUCGGGAUGAACUAACUGUCUGUCGCUGGGGAGAAGCUUGGAUCGGGGGAAACUGCCGCUUAAUUGGUCAUAACUUACAACAAAUCUUAGUUCUUUAAUUAUCAAUGGGUAGCUUCGCUAGAAAAAACCUAUG